rnacentral:rRNA from 1 species
UACGUAGGGUGCGAGCGUUAAUCGGAAUUACUGGGCGUAAAGCGUGCGCAGGCGGUUCGUUGUGUCGGCGGUGAAAGCCCCGGGCUCAACCUGGGAAUGGCCGUUGAAACUGGCGAACUGGAGUGUGGCAGAGGGGGGUGGAAUUCCGCGUGUAGCAGUGAAAUGCGUAGAGAUGCGGAGGGACACCGAUGGCGAAGGCAGCCCCCUGGGCUAGCACUGACGCUCAGGCACGAAAGCGUGGGGAGCAAACAGG